ACCCUAACUUUAGCAAUUGCAUCUCACAAAACUUGAAUUUUUAUCCUUCAAAUCACAAUUGAAGGGAAAUCAAAGCCUAUAAACAACAGGCGAAUCAUUUAAGAACAAUAUUGCUGCGCGUGAUGAUGAAGAGGUGUAAUUGCGAUUGAAUGAAAAUAUAUGGGCCUUGCUCUUCCGGUUUGCUUUGCUAUCCCGUUUUGGAUUUUUCUUCACCAUUUUUACAGAGUCAAAUUAGAUAUUUUUGGCAAAAAAAACAAUAGUACUUUUUACUACUAUGAAAAUGACAGAAGAGGAAGUAAGUUAGAGUCUUACCAAAUGGGGUUAAUUGCUAACCACACUCAAAUAAAAGCCAUUAAUGGCUAACUGCAACUAACAUCAAAGGAGUUUAAGAGAUAAAAGGGAGGGAGAAAUGGGGGAUUGAGGGAAAAUCGUGAGAAAAGAGGGGAAAGGAAAAAAAAAAA